rnacentral:rRNA from 1 species
AACGAACGCUGGCGGCAGGCCUAACACAUGCAAGUCGAACGCCCCUCCUUCAAGCGAGCUUGAAGGAAUCUUUUGGAUUUCAAGAGAGCCAACGAGCUCUCUUGAUGGAGGGGAGUGGCAGACGGGUGAGUAACGCGUGGGAACGUGCCCUUCGGUUCGGAAUAACUCAGGGAAACUUGAGCUAAUACCGGAUACGUCCGUAAGGAGAAAGAUUUAUCGCCGAAGGAUCGGCCCGCGUCGGAUUAGCUAGUUGGUGAGGUAACGGCCCACCAAGGCGACGAUCCGUAGCUGGUCUGAGAGGAUGAUCAGCCACACUGGGACUGAGACACGGCCCAGACUCCUACGGGAGGCAGCAGUGGGGAAUAUUGGACAAUGGGCGAAAGCCUGAUCCAGCCAUGCCGCGUGAGUGAAGAAGGCCUUAGGGUUGUAAAGCUCUUUCAGCGGGGAAGAUAAUGACGGUACCCGCAGAAGAAGCCCGGCUAACUUCGUGCCAGCAGCCGCA